GACGAACGCUGGCGGCGUGCUUAACACAUGCAAGUCGAACGGAAAGGCCCUGCUUUUGUGGGGUGCUCGAGUGGCGAACGGGUGAGUAACACGUGAGUAACCUGCCCUUGACUUUGGGAUAACUUCAGGAAACUGGGGCUAAUACCGGAUAGGAGCUCCUGCUGCAUGGUGGGGGUUGGAAAGUUUCGGCGGUUGGGGAUGGACUCGCGGCUUAUCAGCUUGUUGGUGGGGUAGUGGCUUACCAAGGCUUUGACGGGUAGCCGGCCUGAGGGGGUGACCGGCCAAUUGGGGAAGGAGAACCGCCCCAAACCCCCCGGGGGGGAAGAGGGGGGGAAAUUGUAAAAAGGGGGGGAAGCGUGAGGAGGCAACGCGGGGGGGGGGAUGACGGCUUUGGGGUGGAAACCCCUUUUCCCCGGUGACGAAGGGUGGGGGAGGGAAAUGGGAAAAGAAGCACCGGCUAACUACGU
rnacentral:rRNA from 1 species